UCUCUCUCUGCGAGAUUUUCGUCCCACAAGUUUGCAACUCUCACCUUUUGUUUCCCCGCAUCUCUUGUAAAAUUGGCGCGUGGUUGGUGGUUCCGUCCAUUCGUGGCAUCUACUUCAGUUUUAUCGUUUAUAAGUACCCGUUAGACCGCAAACAAGAGUCCAUUAAUUCACCCUUUCUUUGAACAACAACAUAUUGUAGUCGCCACGCCACCAAGCCGAAAUUGCCGACUUUGUCCUCGUCUCUCGUGCGCGUCGUCGCAUGUUUUUGUAGCAAAUAAUAUAUUACGCAAAGUUUGUGCGUAUAGGUGCGACGCGCUCAAGAAAAGGUUAUAUUGAACUAAUUCAACGCUUACGCUAAAGUUGUUCAUUUGCUGUUGGUAGACGUUCACACUAGUAAUUUACUUUUUUGGAUUUUUGGAUCAAGUUUUUACAUCUGAUUACUAACUAUAAAGAGCCAUGGCCGCUGCGGCGGCUGCUGCGCUCCUCGACGAGCUCAUGGGCAGGAACAGAAACGUUUUACCAAACGAAAAACCCAAGGAGCUCAACUGGGAGGACUCCGAGUUCUGCAAGUUGUACCUCGUCAAAUUCUGUCCACAUGACUUGUUUGUUAAUACAAGGGCAGAUUUGGGAGCCUGCUUGAAAGUACAUGACGAUGAGGCCAGAGAAUUGUAUGAAAAAGCUCCCUACAGUUACCGCAAGCAACAGUACGAAGACGAGUUUAUCAGAUUUUGCCAAAGCAUGCUCAACGAAGUGGAGAGAAAAAUUGUCAAAGGCAAACAACGACUGGCCUUAAUUGGGAGGACAGAAGCCCCAACAUUGUCACCUGCUCAAACUCAAAAGAAUGAAGAACAAAUUACCUUGCUCUCGGAAAAAAUUAACAAACUGGUGGAAGAAGCGGAACAGAGUGGAAUUCAGGGCAAUGUUGAACAGGCUCAAGGCUUGAUGCGUUUGUGCGAUCAAUUAAAGGAAGAGAGGGAGACUUUGCGUAAAUCCAACGACAAUAGCCAUUACAACCAAACUGCAGAAUUAGCUGCUGCCCAAGAAAAACAAAUGGAAGUCUGUGAUGUUUGUGGCGCAUUCCUUAUCGUUGGCGAUGCUCAACAACGAAUUGAUGAUCAUUUAAUGGGUAAACAGCAUGUGGGCUAUGCCAGGUUGAAGAGUGCACUGCAAGAGAUUCAGGGCAAGCGAGAAAAACUAAGAGAAGAAAAAGAUAUGGAAAGAAAACGAUCACGGGAUGAAGAGGAUAGACGACGAAGACAUGACCGUGGCAGAGAUCGGGAAAGAAGAGAUAGGCACAGAGAUAGAGCUGGAGAUAAGGGAGGAGAUAGAGGAGACAAAGGGGGAGAUCAUGAUAGAGACAGACGUAGAAGAAAGGAGGAAGAAAAAAGAUGUGACCCGCAAAGAAAUUCUAAGCAUCGAAGUAGAAGUAAGUCCAAAGAAAAGCACGAUCGUCGAGAUGAAGACAAAGAUCGGCGCCAUAAAGACCGAGGUAGUCAUGAUCAUCAUUCUAACCAUCAAAAUCGCAAACGACACCGAUCCCGAAGUAGAAGUCACAAGUAACUACUCUUGAUCGGUUAGUGAGUGAGCGAAAAUUCAGGUUGUACACGCAAAUUUAAUGAUAAAUACACCCCAAGGACAGCGGUAGAUUGUUUUUGUAACGAAUUUUAAAGCGGUUUAGAGCUAUUAUAACGGAGAGGAUUAAACAGUGUGCCCACUUCUUCCAAUAAACCAAUGUGCCUCGACAGUGUGCUGAAUAUACAAUCCUAAGCUUCUGCCUACGCACAAAAAAUUCAGAGGAAGAUUAAAGCAGCCGAAUACUCAUACAACUUAUAAGAUUAGUUAUGCAUCAACAGCUGUACGAUGAAGACAAAAGGAGUCAGACUAUACUGGGGAUCCAGUUAAAGGUAACGAUUUUCCAUACUAUGGUUUGAGAUUAUACAUAAUGGGCAAGAACGUGGGAUUCGGACGCAAUCUCGGAAUGAUGUUUUCCUCCUCAAGACGAAACUAAUGAUGCGCGAAUGUCGCUAUUUUCACAAUUUUUCAUUCACUCAAUUCAGAUAUACACAUACUUAUAUAUAUAUAAUAAUAAGUAUGCGUGUUGUGAGAUUAAUUUUCGUCACUUCAAUCAAACAAUUUAUUUUUUGAUUUUUGUUACUCUGUUACCAAUGCAACUUUUAAUUUUUUCAUUGUUUAUUAUCUGAAUUGUAGUAUUUGAACAAUCUUGUUAUAAUAAAAGCUAAGUUUUGGACCUUCAGAUGCUGUUUUAGUUUAUUUAUAACGAAUAAAUGAAAAAAAUUUGUGUACCAUAAAUGAUUUUUCUGUAAGCAUAGAAUAAAGGUCUUUUAAUUCAUGUCA
rnacentral:misc_RNA from 1 species